CUAUGUUAGAGAAAACAGAAAGCAAAUGGCGUCAGAUAAUAUUAAUGUUUUAAACUUUCAACUAGUGUCUUUUAAUGUUGUCAGUCUUAUUAUAGUAAAAAGAAAAUGGUUAAGUCAUUCAACCUACAUAUAAAAUAUCUAAGUGAUAUCUUUAGCAUUACUGUAACACUUUUUAGGUAUGUUAUAAUGUUCAUUAGGUUUAAACGUCAUAAAAAUGGAUUGCUUUAGUGUUAAUCAGGGUACCGAAACAAUAAUUUAGAAUCCUUUAAUCACGUCAUGAUCCCCUACUCCACGUCUUUCAAUUUUAUCUGUCUCCAAUUAGGUAGGUACCUAGUUUGACAAGUGUUAAGUAUAAAAUCAUUAUCACUACAAAUGUAAUUUGUAAUGAAACACGAUAUAGCUACCUAUCUUAUUUUUCGCUCAUUGUAAUAGUAAUAAUUUAAAGGAACUUUUUGUAACUAGUUAGUAGUGUUGCUGUAGUCGUUUUUUUAAGGAUGCCUUUUAAAAUAGUGCAAACGACCGAAAGGGAUGAAGGAAUGUUCUACGGAACUUCUUGACUCACACAACAACCGAUUGUACUGUAUUUUGUGUAUGAGGUGUAUCAUUUUUUGGAACACGUUUUGCAUUUCUUAAACCAAAUAUAAAGUUUGAAUAUUC